rnacentral:rRNA from 1 species
ACUCCUACGGGAGGCAGCAGUGGGGAAUAUUGCACAAUGGGGGAAACCCUGAUGCAGCCAUGCCGCGUGUGUGAAGAAGGCCUUCGGGUUGUAAAGCACUUUCAGUAGGGAGGAAGGUAGUGUAGUUAACACCUGCAUUAUUUGACGUUACCUACAGAAGAAGCACCGGCUAACUCCGUGCCAGCAGCCGCGGUAAUACGUAGGUGGCAAGCGUUAUCCGGAAUUAUUGGGCGUAAAGAGCAUGUAGGCGGUUUAUUAAGUCUGGUGUGAAAGCUAGUGGCUCAACCACUAAAUUGCAUUGGAUACUGGUAAACUAGAAUACUGGAGGGGCAAGUGGAAUUCCAUGUGUAGCGGUGGAAUGCGUAGAUAUAUGGAGGAACACCAAUGGCGAAGGCAGCUUGCUGGACAGUAAUUGACGCUGAGAUGCGAAAGCGUGGUAGCAAACAGGAUUAGAUACCCUGGUAGUGUACUGU